rnacentral:rRNA from 1 species
AGUGAACGCUGGCGGUAGGCCUAACACAUGCAAGUCGAACGGCAGCACAGUAAGAGCUUGCUCUUACGGGUGGCGAGUGGCGGACGGGUGAGGAAUACAUCGUAAUCUACUUUUUCGUGGGGGAUAACGUAGGGAAACUUACGCUCAUACCGCAUACGACCUACGGUUGAAAGCAGUGGAUCUUCGGACCUUGCGCGAAUGAAUGAGCCGAUGUCGGAUUAGCUAGUUGGCGGGGUAAAGGCCCACCAAGGCGACGAUCCGUAGCUGGUCUGGGAGGAUGAUCAGCCACACUGGAACUGAGACACGGUCCAGACUCCUACGGGAGGCAGCAGUGGGGAAUAUUGGACAAUGGGCGCAAGCCUGAUCCAGCCAUACCGCGUGGGUGAAGAAGGCCUUCGGGUUGUAAAGCCCUUUUGUUGGGAAAGAAAAGCAGCAGGUUAAUACCCCGCUGUUCUGACGGUACCCAAAGAAUAAGCACCGGCUAACUUCGUG